AGCAUAGCGAUUUGGGAUAAGUCCCUUGGAAGAGGGCAGCAUGGAGGGUGAUACUCCCGUCUCUGCUCAGGUUGUCUGUGUGUACGAUACGCUUUCUUUGAGUCGAGUUGUUUGGGAAUACAGCUCAAAGUAGGUGGUAAAUUCCAUCUAAAGCUAAAUAUUGGUGCGAGACCGAUAGCGAACAAGUACCGUGAGGGAAAGAUGAAAAGAACUUUGAAAAGAGAGUUAAAGAGUACCUGAAACUGUUGAAAGGGAACCGUAUCGUUUCUAGUGUUUAUCCUAUGCAUAUUUCAUUGGCGGUUGUAAAAUUGCUGGUGCCCUGUGUAUGGGUGUGACGUCAGAGUCAGUUUGAAUUGCGGGAGAUGGGUAGUGAGGAGGUGCGUCACUUUUUGUGAAAGUUACAGCUCGCUAUCUAGUAGCCGUGGUUGAGACUGAGGUGCC
rnacentral:rRNA from 2 species